GAUGAAGAACGCAGCGAAAUGCGAUACUUGGUGUGAAUUGCAGAAUCCCGUGAACCAUCGAGUCUUUGAACGCAAGUUGCGCCCGAAGCCUUGGCUAAGGGCACGUCUGCCUGGGCGUCACGCAUCGCGUCUCCCCCAAACCGCCAAGGCGGAGGGGAAGGAAGAUGGCUUCCCGUGCCUCACCCGGGCGCGGUUGGCCUAAAUUUGGAGCCCGCGGCACUUAGCUCUCGCGGCGAUAGGUGGUGAACAAGGCCUUGGCCGUGCAAACAACCCGCUGCGAAGCUCUAUGUCACGUGCGCUCGUCGGACCCUUUGAAGUUGCCUUUGGUGACUUAAAACCUUUGCGACCCCAGGUCAGGCGGGGCUACCCGCUGAAUUUAAGCAUAUCAAUAAGCGGAGGA
rnacentral:misc_RNA from 1 species